rnacentral:rRNA from 1 species
UACGUAGGGGGCAAGCGUUGUCCGGAUUUAUUGGGCGUAAAGAGCGUGUAGGCGGCCAGGUAGGUCCGUUGUGAAAACUGGAGGCUUAACCUCCAGCUGUCGAUGGAAACCAUUUGGCUAGAGUCCGGAAGAGGAGAGUGGAAUUCCUGGUGUAGCGGUGAAAUGCGCAGAUAUCAGGAAGAACACCCGUGGCGAAGGCGGCUCUCUGGGACGGCACUGACGCUGAGACGCGAAAGCGUGGGGAGCGAACAGG